rnacentral:lncRNA from 1 species
UAAAGAACGCAUUCACAUAUAAUUAUUUUAUUUAAUUAUUAAGAAAGACUAAGUACAUGGACGGUGGACACUAAGAAAUAUAAUCUCUUGUAUAUCAAGAGAUUUUACAGGUUGAACUGAACUAAACUGACCCUCACACAAUUAAUUGACAGGUAAUAACAAUACCCAUCCUUUUAUUAACCAUAAUAGAAAAGAGUAAUACUGUGUGCCCUCACACAAUUAAUUGACAGGUAAUAACAAUACCCAUCCUUUUAUUAACCAUAAUAGAAAAGAGUAAUACUGUGUGCGUGCAUGGGCUUAUUAACCGGUGUGGUCGGGAUUUCUUCCAUAUUGAGGGACAACAAUAAGAUCAAGAUUAUCAAUUGUCCCGUCCUUAUCGUCAGCAAUACCAUAGACAGGUACUGGAGUACCCUCCAACCAUUCAUUCUUACCUGAAAGUUUAACAUUAGAAAAUGGAUUCAUAAGUGCUUAUAUUAAUAUAUGAAUUGUAAAUGAUAUCUAUUGAGCUGAAAUUGGAUAAAAAACCUGCGCAAGGAAAAGGAGUUUCCAUAUUCUUCAAAUCAGAAAAGAUCUCCGGGUGAAGCGUAAUCAAAACUCAAAAAUAAGUAGAGCUUGAGCGUGUUCUUAUUUCUGGUUUGAUCUGAUUUAUAUAGAUUCAAGAAGCCGAUGUUGCCGAGGUGUGGGUGAUUGUGAGGUAGCAAAACAUGUAAUAAUUAUUUAAGAUUAACGGC